UGGAACGUAUGGACUGCUGUGUAGAAUAGGAGCGAUAGGCCCUACUGGACGUGGAAAUGACGGAAUCAUAAAAAUUCGCAAUAGCAGGAGCAAAGAAAUUUCAUCCGCUUUUAGCCAAUGCUGAAUGCCUCUUUGCUUUGGGAGGCAAUCAAUAGGAGUUGAUGAUUCUCUUGUGAAGAAAGCAACUUAUCUCUUACUAAAGAAAGGACCUUUUGUAAGGAGGAAUCCUUCUUUUUUGUUGUAAGGUCUGGACUCGAAGAGGGAGUCGAUUCACUCAAGACAGCUAGAGGACGAGAGAAAGCCUUACCAGAAGUGAAGUAAAGAAGAGCGGGAAAUAGAAGAUCUUAAAACGAUUGUAAAAAGCAAUCUCCCCCAUAAAAAAGAAGGGACUGACUUCUUUCUUGACAAGGAUCCUGAAUAAAUCGCGCAUGCUCCAAGGACUUCACGGAAUUAGGAGGCACACAGGUAGCAAGAGAAAUGCGGGUAAGCGACGACCUCAAAAAAACAAGUUUUGAUUUCCAGAAAGAUCCCCACGCUGCGGGAUGAACCUCGCCAUAAGAACCACCAGCGACUGGGCACGGGACUCAACCUCUGAACCUCUGCCUGACCAGGCACGGAAGCAGGAACAGGCCCAUCUGUGGCAUCGGAUUUGAAUGCCGAGAGGAAGAGGAAUCCAUUGACUGAAAUCCAUUCUUGGUUUCAACUUGCUGAGUCUCGGAAUCAGUUCCGUGGGCGUCAACAAGCUAAUUGGUUAGGCGCGUUGUGGUUUCCUUGGAUUAUUUACAAGCGGUAUUCAAGCUCUUAUUUUUGCUACUUUAGCUGCGGCUUAUAUAGGUGAAUCCAUGGAAGGCCAUCAUUUACUAGUUUUCUAAAUAGUCUUUUUUUUAGUUUAGCCCGCCGCAAUGUAUGUGCGGCUCAAGAUAAUCUACUUAGGGAACAUAAAUAUAUAAAAUAGAAAGAAAUUUGGAUAAUUUAAUAAAAUAAAUAUAAUAUUUAUAAUUAGAUUACUCAAAUUCUGAUAUUUCUAUGCAAUAAUUCGGUCUAACGAAUUGAUUUAGAUUUAUUAAAUACAUAUGGGAUAAUAAAAAAGUCAAACGAUUCUUUUCAUAAGUUUUCUAAGUGGCCUGCUCUUCUCUCUUUUCUCUAUUGAAUUUAUAGUAGCGAGACGGAUUCACCACUACUUAUGACUUCGCCAAUGGGGCAAACGAAGGCUAACCCGUUCUGGUUGUUAUGACUGGCAAGAAUCAGUAGGUUCUUUCAGUCUUGCUUGUGCGCUUUGGUCCUUCUUACAGAGACUAUCCUUUGUAGUUGUUAUGAUCCAUCCAAGGAAUGAGCUUCCCCAGAGUAAAAUCCCGUGGACUACAAGGAAAAGAUAGAACCUCGCCCAGCAGCUGAUUCAAUAGCAGAUGGUCUUGGAAUUUCAUUCGAUGCUUCUGAUUCAACUCCAAGACAACCAAGGAAGUAUGCGCGAAGAUAGGGUUUAGCCCCGGUCGCUUAUGUUGAGGCGGCCUUCGCUGUGCUGCACUGGCUUGAGGAUAUGAGGAGAUAGAAAGAAGAGAGACCUAAGGUCUCAGUUAUGGUGUUACAGUCCUGCUUCCACCAAAGGCAGGCUUGCUUACAGAACUGACUUAUGGAGAUCGAUUUUGACAAGAUUCAGUCAGUACCAACAAGGAAAGAAGGACAGAUUAGCUCUAAAACCUUAACUUGCUUGAAUCUUCGGAGAUCUGAGUAUCGGCAACUCCCUCAACAGCUUCACUCGCUUAAAGGACUACAGCAUAAAGUCCUUGCAUUGCUGUGAGUUUCAGACUCAGAACUCUUUCAUUAUUGAUUUCAUGAACGUCGUUUACAACUAAGCUUUUUCCCUAGUUUCUUACUUCCCCUUAGUGUUUGUUGUGUUGGACUUGAUAUACCUCGACCCUAGUCUUGGCUAGUAAUAGGAAACAUAAAGAAAAAUAUAGUUGUCUAUUUAAUUUAAUAUGAUAAAUAAAGUCUUCCUGCCUUUCGGAAGGAGCAUUCCUCUUUCUUUUGUUGACUCGCUUGCUAGCUUUCCAACUGGAACUACCGAUUAUACGUUAACAAAAAAACGGGCUGCCUUCCCAAACUUGGCAGGAAUAUCUCCUACUCGCAGGAAAGGGAAGAAAGACAAGAGAUCUGAUCUAACGAAGAAAACGAGUACUGGCUAGGCUAAGAACAACGCCUUUAAGGCAGGCUAACUGGACUACCACUGCCUCUACUGAUGGCCUUAGAGAAAGAACUUAACUCAUCAAUCAGUCAGUCUAUAGCCUUCCAGUUUUCAGGAUUUGCUGGUCUUACCGUUGUUCGGAGGAGCUCCUCCUUCUGAGAACACGGGUUCAAGGGCCUUGCUACUCCAACGAGGGCACCCUUUAUUUAGGCUUCUUCAGUCCAUCGGCGAGAACAAAACAAGCCCUUUAAGCAGAACGUCAUGCCAUUGGGUUGAUCGAGUGAGACUCCCUAGCUGUAGCUCGAAUUGCUAUUGCUUGAUUGAGCAUUCGAAUCCAUUCUCUUCAAUUGGAGAGGAAGCCAGCAUAAGGGAGCCCACUCGACCUAAAGCUAACAAAGACUUAUGGCAAGGAAAUCUAUUCCAUUCAUUCAGGCUUUUCUAUAUCUUGAAAGGUUCAUUCCUACUACUUCAUUUAAGACUUUCAGGCCUCUCUCCUGUCACUAGCUGCCGAGCGUGCCUUGUGUGUGUCUCAGUGGAAUCAAAGCCCUUCCGCCUUUGACUAGACUCUCGGAGAAGCAGAUGGUUAAGUCAAGGCCAACCAAGGUGCGUUGUUAGACUCUCUACCUAUGAUAGUUGGGCUCUAGCCUUAGGUGGCUCUCGCCAUUUGACUACGACCCAUAUCCGCCUUAAGAGCUAACGGUCAACUGGCUAACUGUCUUGUUCGCUCUACGGUAAGAACUGCCUACUAAUGAAAGAAUGACAUAGAAAGUAUAGGCUGAUAUAGGGCUUUUCGUGUUAUAACUAAUGAAGAAGGUAAGUUCAGACUUCAUUAUUUUCUUUCCUCACCGACUAUUUUGUAUAGAAGAGUUAGUUUAAGAUUGACCUACGGCAUAACUUAAAUGAAUUCUUAGGGACCGAUAGAUGAAAACGGAAGAAAUUCUAUAGUUACAUAGAUAAGCUUAUAAUCCCUACGGAAAGAACAACAACGACCGAGAAAACCCUGCCCACACAUGACCACUUUGUCUUCGGACCUGGCCGGGAUAACAGGAGCUGUAAGAUUUACGUAAUAUACUUUCCUUGUUCACCCUCUCUUUUCAGUAUAUUCCGUUGGUGAAUUAAUAAAGGCGAAAUGAAAUCUUUCAUGACCCGGCCCGGGUAGUGAAUAAACUUGGAAAUAGAUCCAAUAGUUCAGUUCGUUCGAGAGACCUGCUCGCUCGGAAUGGAAUCGGUUGAAUGUACGACGGAUCAUGAAACUCCCAACUUUUUAUGGACUAGCCGUCGCUAACUCUAGAUCAAAGAAGUGGGAAUCGGGUUGUAACCGAAGCCUGUGAUAUGGAUAGGCGCCUUGAUCGCUGGAAUGUAGGGUCUCCAUCCGAGAAUUCCAGUCUGGCAGACAAAAACUUAUACUGACAAGGAACGUCUGUCGAAUAGUUGUUGGCCUUGAAAAGAUCAAACCAACGGGUCGGCAACCGGAUAAGCUCCCUCUUUCAUUAUUAUUAUAUUUAAAAAAAGAAGGGGUUGGAUGGGAAGGUACGCAGUGAAAGACCUGAAACGAGCGUGAGUGUGUUCCCAGUAGUUCAUUCCGAUAGGGAAUUCCGAGUUCGAUCUAAGUGGCUAACCAAGGACAGGCUCCAGAGGAAGAGGAUGCAUUCCGGUAUGAAUGAUAUAAUUCACGCUCAUAAAAGGAGUAUGAGAAGUUCUGUGCCAUUUUCUGGCGGGGAACGGACUUGACUGACCAGUAGAAGGUUGGUUCUGCCUUGACAGUGAGAAGAAGAAGUAGUGGGCAAACGAGCCAUAUAAGAUCUCCUAAUCUGCCUGUGCGGGAAUUUUCAUUAUGAGCGAGUUGAAAUGGUCGGUUCGCUUUCUUUUAGUAACGAAUAGCGACUAUGGGCAGAAGAGAGAGUAUAUUCCGAAAGGUUGGGCGAAGUCUCUCGACCUUUGUGAACAAGAUUGAACCAAAAACUUCUUAUGAGCUGGGCAGUCGGACAAGUAGUGAGUUGAGUAUUAUCCUGUGUAGGGCUUACCAGUCAAUUAGAGUGAUGGGGCAUUUAACAGGGGCGUACAAUCCCAAGGGAGAACGGACACGAGGGAAAGUAAUGCUAACUCAAUUCCCGGGAUUAGGGUUAGGAUCAGUCUUUGAAAAAGACAACUUUCUUGACUAGCUGACCCCAUGUCCUCAAUCAAUCCCUUGGUUCGCUCGAUUUAAGAACUCAGCAGAAUGAAUGGCAUUUCAUAGUAUCGAGCCCAGAAAGAAGCAUACCGGGCAUUCGCUUGGUAGGUACAUUUUAUGUACAAUAGAUAAGUUUAUUCUAUUCUAAAGACGGGGUUUUAUUAUGAUUUAUGUGAAGGUAGACGACACUAGCUGAGCUGGGUUCUUUCUUAGACACAUGCUGGUCUAUGUGCAAUGAAAAAGCAAUGGAAAGAGAGCCGAUGACUCUGAUUUAUGAUAGGAUGUGCCAUUCCCGGAAAGGUAAGAAGGAAGUGUGAGUGCUUCUAUCACAAAUAACGAAACGAGCGAGUGAAGACCUAGAAAAGCUCUCCUGAGUCAACCUACCCUACCCGGAGUUACAUUGUUUCCCUGGAAGUGAGCGAUAAUAAAGUACAUUUAGAUUUCCAAGGUAGGAUUAGCGGCUAAAGGGCUCGGGAGCAUCUACCUCAUUUCCCAAGCUGGAGUGGAGUGGGAAAAGGCUCUCGAUCUGCCGGAAAAUGAGGAGGCGCCAGCUUGUCUGCGUUCCCAUGUGGCAGAUGAAUUACGAAUCCUUUUCCAUAUUGGGCGCAAGAAGACCCUAUCCGACAGCGAAUUUAACAAAUUAAUCGGCGCAGAAAAGUCCUUUUUUGUAGUGCCGGACUGCUCUGGUCUGUCUCACAUUCAUCAAGGAAUGAUGUGCCAUCCACGACACACUACCAGGUAAGAACUCAGCCUUCAGCUGCUCCCAGGUUCCGAUCGAGCACUUCCCUAUGCCGACCUCAUCCUAUAUCUCCAAACGUGUAAAAGAGGGGUUGCUACUUCAUACCUUUCCAUUUAGCUUCUUGUUGUUUUCCUGAUUCUUAGGAUAACAAUAUGGGACUCUUAAUAUCAUCCCUUAACAGGACUUCAAUCAGUAUUGAUCCGGCAAUGGGACGUCGCUUUAACUCAAUUCCAUAGAGCCUUCGCUCUAUUCUUUGUGAGCUUUGGGAAGAAGAUCAAUGCCUUUCUUUCCUCUUUCCCAUAAGAUGAAAGAAAAGUUGGAAUAGGAUGUGUUCAAACUUCUUAGCCCUCGUCAGCUGCCCUUGCUACGCUUCGGAUGCUAUGAGCUCGGCUUAGCUUCACUUCGUCGGGAAGGAGUGUAGCUAAGGUCAACUCCCUCCGGAAGGGGGGAUACCAGAAACUCUCCAAGAAGAGCAACUAUCUACUGCUAGCUCCUAGCUGUUUUCUCUUCUUGGCAUCCCUGAUAGCAGCACUUUCAGGUGUUCUUAGGUUAGUUCGACGGUAGGGCUAGUUGAAGCAUCUUUAAGAAAUGUCCUGACGGAAAUAAAUGUCCCAUUAUUGUUAAAGGAAGCUAAGAAGAAGUGAAGUAUCCCCUUCAAAACAGGCAACCAAGACUUAUGAAGUGCGUUCAGGCUCACUUUACACUUUCUAAAUGGGAACCCUAAUUCGAAAUAUGAAAGAAGUUUGCAAGAGAUCCAAGGGAUCACAGUCUUCCUUCAGUAAAGGCUGUAUGUAAUUCAGUCUUCGCCCACCUUUCUAUAUGCGAGUAUGCGAUUGUUCGCUCGACCCGCCUGCCCAGUUACGAAAUGAAAUAGUUAGCUCUUAAAAAGCUAUAAAUUCAAGGAAACUCAGUCUCUGAGUUGCUAGGAAUUCCCAAGCCUUAGCGAAGAAAAAAGCCUACUUGAAGAGGGAUGCCAAGAGGAGCAAGUUUACUCACUUUAUCUUAAUCUUAUGUAAUAUUACGUACGACCCCGCGAGCUAAAUCUAAAUUGGUCUCAAAGAUUAUCAAGGGCUUUGCGCCUCUCUUACCCCUCCUUCUAUCCAAUAUCCAAAGAUACUUUAGAGACUUUCCCAGCUGUAGUAGCUUCCCUUCCAUCCCAUCGAUUGAGCUUUCUCUCGCUUAAUUCAAUAGGGCCUUAGUAGACCGCUUUGAAUUCGAUAACUCGAUCGCUUCUUUGCUGCUCUCGGCUUCUGAAUUCGUACCUUUCAAUAGCCAGUCUAGAAGCCCUAAUCUUGUAAGGCACGUGACUGCAUUCCUAAAUUCUAUCUCUGCUUCCUUCACUCCUUCUUAUUACAAUACUGUAAGUGGGGCUGGGCAAGCCAAGCAAAAUGGGAGUUUCCUCUUUGUAUCCUCUAGUCUCAAGACUUUCUUUCACUUUGAAAAUUAGGGCCGGAAAAGGACUCGUUCUUGAAAAGGAGAGAGAACUAAAAAAACCUUGAGUCCAAGUCCGGAGUAGUGGAUGUCCACCCUGCGGCCCCCCAAGAGAGUGGUCUUGCCCUUCCUUUGCUUUGCCCUUGGCGAACUGGCAAGGGGUGCACCAAAUCGCACAACCGAAACUCCAAUAUUCGGAAAAAACAUAUGCUUAACACAUGCGUCAAUAACUCCGGUUUCGGGGUAUCCGCCUCUUAGCGCUAAGCAUAAAGUUCGCCGGCUACGAGUUAAACAUUAGUGCAUAUGGGCGGGAAUAGCACACUCCCCGGCGACUGUUUAGGGUUGUCCCUUUUCCGAACCGUAAGAAGAUCGAGAUUUCUCACUACUAGCGGACCAUGCGUUUAAACAAGACUGCUUUCUCAGACUUAAGUAAAAAGGAUCUAAUACUAAUAAAGCAGGGUUCGAAGGUGCUGGGGCUGUAUAGCUCCUGGGAAAGCUAAGCUAUAAGCUAAGAAAUAAAACAUUGAAAGACGUUCACCCCUUCCUCUAUAAUGUUACUUCGUACCUUCUAUCAAGUAUAAAGGGAGUAGAAUUGCUUGUUUGAUAGAACAAGGGAGGAAUGAAUAAGUAAAAUGCCAGUCUCUUUGAGAAGAGUAAGCUCGGAAUCACAGGGGUUUGAAAUUGAUUACACUCCUUCUCUUUCUCUCCCUCUUUCCUCUCUUCAAUUAUAGAGACCCGUACAUACAAAGAUCUAGGUAGCUCAUUUAAAUGAAUUCGAGGAAAACAGCACAUUACAUUAUGGCAGUGAUCUUUAGCUGGUCAUAGCCAUAAUCAUAAUAAAGGCAACGCAAGGUUUGCUCCAUUCCAGACCGACCUACCGUUAGCUUUAAUAAAGCAGUAUUCCCUGGUAAGGACUGGUGGCAUAGCGCAGUCCUCACCGAUGUGGUGUCCAGUCACAACCUAUAGAUAUAGAAUAAGAAGAUUCUCCUUUUACUUACUAUUGAUUUGGAACUUCUAGAUCAUCUCGUUCUACUUUAUGUCUUACCUAGUUUAAGCCUUGGUGGUCUCAUUUAACCAGUGUGCCCACGUGACAAUAAGAGCAUCGGUAAAGGAGAUCCUCCUAUUAAUUCCUAUUGAAGCUGAGCAAAGCAGGUGAUGUGCCACUGUAAUGGAGGGCUCAGAGAGAGUCAAAGUGUCACCACUGAGUACUCCGAACUGGUCUCCGCAAAGCCUUAUACAGGGCUUGUUCUCUGUUUUUAUUGAAACCACUUUUUGAAUGAAUCUCCCACUUCUAUAGCUAUCCUUCUGCUUUCUCUUGUGCUGGCCUGCCUUCUGGUCUUACUAGCCAUCCCUCCCAACUAAAAUUUUGAGUUACCUGUCUAUAAGCCCAGUAUUGCUAGUUUUCUAUCUUUCCUUAUCAAGUUUUAUGGCUGGUCUUCCCCGCAAGCAGUUCACCCAUUAGUUCAUUUGCUCGCCCGAAGCCUUAGCAGGAUACAAAAUAAAAUAACAUGAGUAUUCGCAAGUCUUUGGCAGCUAGGGUUGCAAUUGGCUAGUAGGGUUUAGUAUCUAAGCGGCUGGCUAAUGUAGGGAAUCCACCCAUCUUGUCAGUAGAGUCAAUCGCUCUUCUUCCUUUACCGGAGGUGUCAGUAAAAAUAGUAAUCCUCCUUCAGUCCCUGGAAGUGAUCCGGAUCCGUAGUCGGUGUUCUUAGUGCUGUAAGUGGUACGCACGCCUUAGUCUUAGACUCAAUCUGCUUUUAUGCCAGUAAAGUUGAAGUCUUCUAUUCCCGGAGCCAAGGAAUCGAUUUCUAGUGGCUAACUUUAGCCAGAAGUUUAGGCCCUGCCCUUCCAAGGCGUCUUAUUAUGCUCGCAUGGGUGGUCGCUCUAGCUAUAUCUAUACAUAUCGAGCUAUCAAAAGCUUUUGAUUACAACACUUCGAAUAGUUAAAAAAUAUUAUUAUUUAGGUUGAAAAUAUCCUAGGAAUUCAGUAGGCUGAAAGUAGGGUAUGCUCAUAAUAUUCAUCUAAAGUAAAAGACUAUCUUUUAUGUCAAGAACUAACACUCGUCCGGAUACUAUGCCUUCCAGAACUAACUAUCGACCGCAUCGCAUUAGCUCCCCUGUCCCGCUCGUAUCGUUUCGAUUACUGCCUAGGGGUCGCUACUCUUGUCCCUUGGCUAUGGGCUAUGAACUCCUCAUCUUAACUGUAAAACGGAUUCUGCCCUAAUUUCAUUUUACGAGAAAGCUGCCGGGAUAGGAAAUUUGUGUCAGUUUAAAGUGAAAGAAUGAGCCCUAUGACUAUUCUUGCAAAAGCCCUUUAUACUUUACUUUAUUAGUAUCUCACUUGCCCGAAGGAUUGGAUCUUCUUGCCGGGAAAGAGUUUGGUUACCAAGUUCAGCUAUAGUUGGGAAGGGAACGAAUGGGGAUGCCCGUCUUGAACUUAUAAUUGAUGUAUGAUAGAGCCUCCAGCAUAUAGGCCUAUCUCACUUGGAUUCUUCUCACGAAUUGGAUUUGAACCAAUAUCUCCGGGCGACUUUCCUUUUAGUCGAUCGUGAGUGGUCUGUCGUCCUCCUCAUUAUAGUCCUCCUAAAAUCAAUAGCAUUUAGUCGGAAAACAUCCUGUCUUUUUACCUCAGUAGUCCUAUGCAUAGUAAGUACUAUAGCCCCAAUCAUGGCAACUAAUAAAAUUAGACUAGGAACCAAAAACCAGACGAAAUAGUAGGUAUAAAGUAAAUUGCCCAAUGUUUCCAAAUUAGUCCAACUUCGUACCUUUCCGGCAUAAACCGUAUAUCUAAGAGAGGUAGUAUUUCUUUGGGUUGGUAGUAAUGGAAUGGUUUCAUUAUCUAAAAUGAAGAACAUUUCCCACCAAAGGAUCAGUCCAAUAAUACCACUCACUGGUAAAUAGCGCAAUACUUCUUCGUGAAUCUCCGCUAUUUGAAUAUGGAACAUCAUAACAACGAAUAGGAAUGAUACGGCUAUAGCUCCUAUAUGAACUACUGGGAAGAUCAUAGCGGAGAAGUCGAGACCUAACAAAAGAAGUAAACCUGAAGUGUCGCGAAAGACUGGGAUGGGAAACAAAACGGAAUGUACCGGAUUUUUAGCACGUGCAACCAUCAAACCAGAGACCAAAGCAGGGCUCGACAAAACAGAAAGUAUCAUGGCAUUGAGAAGAAAUGAUUCCCUCCAGACAGACUGAACUCCGUCAAGCCUGUAGGACUAGUGUUUUGACUAUAUAGAGAUGUGGUUGGUUGUUGACCAACAGAAAGAAAGCAUGGCGGCAUAAACCGUAUAUCUCAGAGAGGCCCCCUCAGAGGAGCGUAGAAGGAGGAGAGUAGGCUGGGGUUGCUCCUUAUGUGUAAAAUCCAGUCAGCAAUCUCGGAGUUGGAAUAGCUUUCUAUCUCCAAAUCCAUGACCAUGAUAGCGUAGGCAAAUCUAUUAGAAGUAGUAUCCGUGGGGGUGGUGGAAGCCACAUAAAGCUUUCAUGGACACAGGAGAGAGGUUAACCCUCAUAUCCUUGACCAGAAAUUGUUUGGCAAACUCUACAGCACCAGUUGAGGAUAUCAAAGACUUGUGUGUGGAUAUCUUAACACCAAGCCGUUGUAAGCCUAGCCGGUACUGUUCCGCCACAAGUGGAUCGGUGAUGAGAACAUCAUCACCUAAUAUAGCAUACCUGUCGAACAGGAUCCCAGGUCUAACCUGUUCCGCAGCCCACCACACCAAAACAUGAUGGGUGAACGCGAACAAAGGCCAAUAACCAUAAUAGCCUAACGGUUGACCGGUCACAAAGGACACUUGAGACAGAGCCCUCUUAACGAAGGGUACCUCAAAUACAUUCGUCCCUAAUGUUGUAUUCACAACACUUGAAGCAAAUGACCUGUCAAACAAUAGCGCAAGCCUUUCAAACAGAAACACAAGAGGCCACCAAUCGGUAGCACUCUUGAGGUCAUAGCUUAAACAUGUUUUACUAGGAACUAAACGAAUGAGAGGUGCUGUUUGAUCAUCCAUUGGGAUGCGGCGGAGGACCUCCGCAAACCAAUGGUGGAUGGGUUUCAGCAACCUCUCACAUAGUUUCCUAUUGCGAAUAUACGACGCUUGCCAGCACCCUCACACGUGCAACCUAGUUUGCCUGUGAUUGCGGCCCAUAUCGUCGCAGGAUGGUAGAAAGGGCCCUAUACGGCGCUCAAACCAAUCCAAAUCCUCGGGUGUGUUUUAUUCCUCACAUCAAAGGCGUAACGAAUACGGGGAGGCCACAAGCAGCCAUGUGACCAUUGGGUACCCUGUGAGUGCCCAACGACCAACAGCCAUUGAAAAGCGCCCAACUCAUGAGAAAACGAUGUGAAUGAAGAGCGAAAGUUCCGAAUCUUACGAUAAGGAAGUUUCCUUCUCUUAACCCACACCCUUUUCGUCAAUGAGUGUGUCGGCAAGGCUUUCCAGGUUGGUUCAAACCGUAACCCUUGUUUGUUCCAGGGGUAUACGUUUUAUCCAGGGAGCAUAGCGACUGAUAAGUCGAUUAAAGUUCUCCUUAAUCGAACCAACCAGCCCCACCACCUCGUCAAUAUUAUCGGGUGGGGAUAUUAUACUAGAAAACGUUGAUUUAUCAACCUUCUUUGCCAAAGUAAUGAUCUUUGACAGAGAGAAUCUUUUUUAAUAAAACUUCACCAGCAUGUCCGCUUUCUCAUCCUUCUUCAGAAUCAUACGCCUAUGAUGAGACGGAAUGAUCCGAGGGUAACCGGACCGAGUGAGAGAAACUGGUACCGCAUUGUCAGGAUGAACGAAUUCAUCACCACCAUAGGCCAUCAUCAAGGAUGAAGCUGCUUGCUUAAAAUAGAAAGCGCAGAACAACCACCCUGAUUUCCGACCAAGGUGAACAAUGCGAAUAACAACAAGAUGGAUCCCCACACAGAGUUCCUUGUUCAGACCAUCAAAGAUCACUAAAGCACCUUUUGGUAUGUAUUGCCCCCUAAAGAUCAGAUCCACCAGACGAGAAACUCCAUUCCGCACUGCUGCUGAGUCGUCGGACUUAUCCACCAAGGGAUUCGUGGAAUUUAUAUGGAUUGCGUUGGGGGAAAUCUACCAAAGCUAGGCAGAUAGAUAGACUCCUUUCCCGCUGCUAAGGGAGAGUAAGAAAGAAAAUCAAUCAAAUGAUUGUUUUUUAAUUUAAUCAGCGCCUCCUUUUCUUUUGGGUAUGCAGGUACUACGAGUCCUCUCACUACCAACCAGCAGACAUCAUCUGGCUGGUCUUGCCGGUAUCAACAACAAGAAAAAACAACCAAAUGGAAACAGCAAUUAACUAUGGCUCUUGGCCCAGACAACGUCCUAGGCGUCGGGGAGAUCGUAGCAACAAGGAACGCCUAGACGACGUUUUUAUUCCUGGGCUGCAGUAAGCAGAUCGAGAGGUCGUUCCGCCCCUUGUCCCCGAAUAUGGGUAAUAUGUUCUCAAAAAUUCUUGCUCCAAUCUGACCUAGCUGGCGAGCGAUCCCAGUUCGCGGCAGAGAACAAGACAGCAAGCGAGCGUACCUUUGUUCGCUUCUUCUCCACCAAGCACGGAAGUUUAAGGAUAACUGUAGGUCGGUGGCUACCUAAGGAAACUCCGAUUCGAUCCGCCCCCCAGCUGGGAGGCAUCUACCUCAUCCCGAUCACAAGGAGAGGUUCACCAUGAUGGGGGUACUUGUUUUUUUUCCCUUCCGGAAAGAAUGAAAUGCAUAGGGGACCAUCCUUUUGUUGUGUUGCGGCAUGCUCCUCAGAUUUACGGAUUCGCAGGGGGCCUCAGGCCCUACUUAGUUGACUGACAAUGACAAAGGCUUGCGAAACUAAGUAGGGCCUUUUGAAUGAAUUGAAUCUUUAGUAGUCUAUCAGUGGUGCAAAGCGGCUUUGUGCCCCUUUUCAGUAGGGGAGCUAAGGCUUAGACCUUCCUUAGAAAGUCAGCGAACAGCGGUUCUUCUAUGUAGGUAUGGCCUUCCCCCUUGACUCUCCUAACGUCGAGCUAAGUGACUUUGUAACCUUUGCGUAGCGUAGUAGAAUGAAGGCUACGCACUGACGCUCUCUUAUCUAUUAGCCUAAGCGUCUUCGCUAACUCGCUCGCCUACUAUACUAUACCCUACUAUACAAUACAUUAGUAGGGUAGGCUAACCCAUAGGUCCUUAGUAGCGUUGACAAAGAAGAACAGCCGGUUAAAAGACAGUGAAUCUUUAUAAAUAUAUAUUUAUAAAAGAUUCUAUAAUAAUGAAAAAGAUAUUUUAUAUAGGCCAGCUUGACAAGCUACCCUUCCUCUUGAUCUUAGGUGCGAAGAGAAAGAUCUCUUUUUUAUGACUUCCACUUAUCUAUCGAUCCCGGCCCGGAAAAGUGACCGACCAGGGGAAUGAAAGAAAGGCUUUAUGAGCCCUAGCCCUGUAAGCCCACACCUGUGUAGAGUAGAUCGUUCAACACCUGCGGCACAAACCCAUUUUUGACCUAUUGGUCCUAGUAUCAUAGGCGACCGAACGGCCGCCCCCUAAUUACUAGACCAACCUGCUGUAAUAAUUCCAUAAACACCUAACGAAGAUAUGGCAAACAAAUAAAGUAGCCCUAUGUUCGAAUCUGACAAUACCAUACCAUAAUCAAAAGGUACAACGGCCCGAGCGACCAGACUUAACAUAAAUGUAGCCACUGGAGCCAUUCUAAAAAGGGAGAAAUUAGCACUACUUGGUGAAAUAGGUUCUUUUAGAAUCAAUUUCAAACCAUCUGCUAGAGGUUGUAACAAUCCGAACGAUCCCACUACAUCAGGACCUUUUCGACGUUGCACAAAAGCCAUUACUUUACGUUCAGCUAGCACUAAAAAGGCUACUCCUAGUAGAAGUGGUAGAAUUAUUCCAAGUAUUUCAGCUGGAACAGCUAUGUACGUUUUCGAUUUUCUAUUCACUCAUGAUCUGGCCUGGUCGACCCAAUCAUGAUAUUGAAGGAUGGGACCUUUUCUCGAAAAACUUUUGUUUCACAUUUUCGGAACUAGAAGACAUAGUUGAUUAGAUCUAAAAAGUGAAAAAUCUGUUCGCAUAACCAAGCAUUUUGGCCAUGUAACAUGACAUCAUAAUAGUCAUUUGUCAGAAAGCCCGGACUGUCAAUCCGAUCGUCGGAAAUAACAGCCCUAACAAGGUCGGACAUCGUCCACUCCGGCGGUACUUGUCUAUUUGACAGUAGAACUCAGUCUUCGCAUUUAUCGCAGAUUUGAUUAAAUACCCGCUAUAACUCAGGUGGAGCGCUUUGCGCGUCCGACCUAGUUGAAGAAAGAGUGAAAGAGGUACUUGACAGACUAUCAAAAGACAUAUUCCUAGUAUCUGAUAGCAUAAAUUGGACAUCACUGGACGUUGGAUUUCCAAAGAGUAAAAGUUAAUUGUUAUUCAACAUAGGCUACUUUGAAAAAUAGCUCUGCUCCCCUUAAAAAAGACAAAUGAGGUUACUAGUAUCUCGACCAUAGGGAGAGGAAAGACUUGUUUGUUGUAAAUCGCUGGUUGGUUUACCAACCAAGAAAGGGCAAGGGGAGCCCCGCAACGGGGGUAGGGGAUCUUUAUCAUUCAGCGCAGUUGUCGCUUAAAUGCAGAGAAUUGGCCAUUCAAUCUUGUAAACUCAUUGAGACCGCAAUUGGAAAAAGAGAUACGAACGGAGAGGAAUAACCAAUCGAUGAAAGAACAUGAAACCAUUCUGUUUCAAUAGAGGUACGAGAAACGGUUGGGGGCAAUGAAGUAGGUGAAGUCGUUGGAUUUUGCGAGCUGUUCCAACCACUGCUGGAUGUGAUUCCAAGAGCCAAACGAGAAUGAAUACCACACAGAAGAGUAAAGACCAGGCUCCCUAAUGGAAUGUUUAACCGAUCCAUUCCGGAUCGACCGAAUUGGUACGGAAGUUGUAACAUGGGAAAACCACAGAAAACACAACUUAUUUGAAUAACCCGGUGACCUACCAAUUGUAGAAGUAGGAUCUUUGGCAAGCAAUAAGCACUUAAAUAAUACAAUUCGAGUGUACCAUCUUCUUUCUCAUUUCGAGGAAAAGGCGCGGGAGGAAAAGAAAACAACGAAGGGAUCCGAAUCGGACCUAAAUGGGAAUGACAUGAAAAGUCUUUUUCAAAACCUAGUAUUAAGGGCGUUACGACGAUAUACGAGAGGAAUGGAGAAAAACUCGUGAUUGGUGUGGAGGGGAAGAUCUUUUUAUUAUAUAGUUCAAGAAAGAGUCGUCUCAUUUCCUUACAUUAGCAAUGGAAGAUAAAAAAAAGUCAAUAUCUGUUGUUUUUUUCACUUAAACUUAAUAAGAGGUCCCCUCUUUUUUAAAUUUAGUUCAUUAACUUUCAAUCGCAUUUGGGCGUUCUUUCUCUCGAGAGCCCUCCACCGAUCACAGUCGUGAUCCAUUUCUGCCCGUAGCCGAGCACGUUCGUUGUCACGAACCCGAUCUAUUUCUCGGGCUUGAUCCAACCGGCUGUCGACUGAGUCAAGAACCGUCUUGAGGCGCGCGAAUCUUUCUUGUCUGGCCUCCUGACCCUCGGUGGGGGAUUCACUCAAGUGGCGAAUCUCCCUAAACCAUAAGUCGCCAAUCUAGGCGUAUGGUCUUUGUUCAUUCCAAAGAAAGAAGGUAGUGUUCGGUAACUAACUGUUCGCCGGUUGGCUCGUUUCCUAUCCCCUAUCCAAAAAAGGUGGAAGGCGACCCCCUAGCCAAACACUUCCUUUCCCUUUUCCGUAACCUUCAACUAAGCUUCAAGACCGAUUCUCCCCUGUACAAACUCCUAACUUGGAUCUUCCUACCGCUGAUGAGAGGCCAUCCCCUCCCUACCACCAUAUAUGAAAUAUGCCUUGUUUUUUUUCAAUCCUCCCUUCAACAGAUCCGUAAGGGCAGAUCUGGUAGCAAGAGAUCAAUUAUCAGAUUAAGUAAAGGGAUUGCCUAGCUAGCGCAUAUCGAAGAGUUUGAGCAGUGGCCUUUGUUCACAUCCUGAUUGGGUUUCAUCGAGGUAUCUUCUUCUCCUCUUGUUGCGACAAAUCGAGUUGCAGCACAUGACGAGUGCCCAUCUUUCCCGAAGCUCCACUUUCAUAAACACCCAUCGGUACAACAAUUGAUCACAACGGAAAGUAAUUAAGCUUGAUCCCGUUUUCCAUCGAAUCCUAUUCUCAACCUCGAGUCAGGAGUUGUUGCCCUAACUUCGUUAGCCUAGAAAGGCUUUGUUUGAAAGCUGUCUUUUCAAGAAGAAAGUAACACCGCUACUACUAUUAUAAUAUAAUAGCUACCUAUUCUCAUCCGAGGAGAACGGAACUACCUUUAGAGUAGACCUAACUGCUGCGGUUACGCCUCCAACAGAUGAAAUCGCACCGUCGUCUUCCCAGCGUAGAGCAAAGCAAACAAGUCAGCCGGAGUUCCAGAAGUCUCUUUAGUAGCAAAAAGGCUAAUCGGUAAUAAGCCUUCAGUCGACCAUCGGGAGAUACGCCUCCAGGCCAAACAGAUAAGGGAAGCGAGAACAUGAUCUUCUUCCUUUGCCUUUUAUAUGAUUACCUCUUCAGCGAGCGAGUACUCAUAUUAUGCCUUCCUUUCAGUCCUCCGAUCUUACCUUAGACCCUCCAUGCUAUGCGGGGAAGCGAGGCUGUCUACGAAGCUUCCCUCCCCCUGUAGUCGAAGUACUCGGCGCUACUUUGAUUCAAAAGGUUCCCGACUUUAUCCGGUUUCCGCAACCGUAAUCAUUUGUCAUUCCGAUUACUUCAUCCAUCAACCUUUUUUUCAAUAGCGGUACGCUCUAAAAAAAGUAAAGGAUAAGCUUGCAUUCUAGAAGCGGUAGCUUCCCGCCUCCUUCAUUUCUACUGCCUCCUUCGGUGAUAAAAGUUCCCUUCCCUUUUCUAAAAUGCCCGAUUGGUCUGCCUCAGCAAAUGUACAAAGUGGACCGCUGUUUGGCUGACCCUCUUCUUCCCAUUCGGGUUGGGUUGACCCAGAAGUAAAGUAAGAAGGAAUGGAACCACUGGAGAGUCGUCCGCAGUUCACACUUGGGCAAAGACGACUGAGUUUGGAAGCGGAACACGAACCGAUUUCCGCUAUUCCGGGUUCUUAUUGAGCGUAGCGAAAUCAAGGUUUAUUAGAAAGUCAGCGAAGUUUCUAUGGUGUUCUACCUUUGCGUAGUCUCGGUCCACAGUGGAAGGCUCCGUACCGACGCCUCACUACUACUGAAUUUAAUUAAUGGCUAAGCGAUUUCAUAACCUGAGCUUUCCUUAACCAGCUGACCUUACUUCGUAACCUUAACGUACUUUCUUUCUUACUAUAUCAAUCAUAGGCCUUCGCCACUUCAAACGGGCGCUUCGCCCUUUCUUUUUUUUAUUAGAAAAAAACGGGGCCUUACUUAUUCUGUUCAGGGAGGAUGAAAGACAAAGAAAGGGAUCAGGGGGCUUAUUGAUCGGAGAAAGGGAAGGGACUUCUUGGACCUAACUGAGAAGGAGACAUAAAGGGAUCACCUGACCUUAUCUUGAGUGAGAGAGGCAAGUCGCAAGGCAAAAAGCUUAGUCGUUUUCAACUCCGAGAGUGACUUCACUUACGGGAUUUCUAUUUCAUUCAGAGCCUGUUCCGGGCAUUGAGAGCAGACGAAGACUAAUAAUACUUUCGGAUAGCACGUGAGAUCAACUACUUAGAAUACGCUACCAUCUGUCUUCGAUUAUGCUCGUUCUACUUUGAGGGAGAGAUCGCUCCUUUAAGGAGACGGGAUUCUACUAUUAUAUAUGAAUAUGAUCCCACCACUUGAAACUGAUUCAACACCAUUCUUCUUCCAAGAGAAAGAAGAGCAAGAACAUCGCUUAUUCUGCAGCAACCUUCCUUUAUGCCUCUGUCGUCGCCGGGCUAAGGCCUGCUGAGACAAUAGAUAGUCAGGCAGGUGGCCUAGCCCUAAGGUGAUUCUCGCUCCUACUUUGAUUUUUGAUUCGCGUAGUGAUAAAAUCAUUUCCGAUUGGCUUUCUUUGUUUGCUUUCCUUUCCCUAAACUUAAUCGAAUCUUUCUGCCCCAUAAGAGAAAUUGGCUUUUUCUGGUGAAAACUUAGAUGUUGAAGCAUGGGCGGCCGUCGAUCGAUGAAUUGAGAAAGAGACCGGGGAUUCCAUUUCAAUAGAGAAAGCUAUCGAUGGUCGCAUUGGGACGGGAACAAGAGCAAUUCUUGGUCCCACCAAACCAUGCCAUGAACAGUCGACUCAACAAGAGCAGGGGAUAUUUAAACUAAGACUCAUUCCGUCUAUUGCUCUACCUUCCUCCAACAGAUUGAAUUGCAUCGUUUAUUCCCCGGCAAAACUAGCUGCUGACUCAACCUCCCCUCGGGUCUACGCCCUCUUUGUUUUAGCAUCGGCGAUUGAAAGAGAGUAGGAGCGCAUUCUCUCCAUCUCAGUUGGAAAGUCUAUCGCUCUCAGCAGCAGUUCCUUGGUCAUACCCUCGGUGAUGACUAGCAGUCCUUCCUGAUUGAGUUCUCACCCUCUAUGGAUAGAUCAAGAGUUCCGGCCCGGCUAUGAUUCCAUCAACAAACCCGAUUCGGUAUAAAAGCUUAGCUUCUAUUACAAGAAUCUAUUUUGAAAAGAGCUAUCCUAAAGCUUGACAGGUCUCCCCAACUCUGUUUUUCACUCGAAAACCGAAAGCAUAAGGAUGAGCCUUGGGCCCCCUUUCCCAAGAGCAGAAGGAGCGUUUAGAUACUGUACCUACCUUUAGGUGCGUGCAGGAGCAAGGACGAAAGGAGAACAAGUCGCAGGAGAAGCGUUGAAGAAGCAGUAGUUUAAGCCAUUGAUCCUGCAGCUUAUCAAAAUAAGCACCAGCAGACAGAGGUAGAUACAGAGCCAUAGGCAAACCUUCACGAUCGAUAGCCUUUUAUGAAUACGACCCUCGUGCUCGAGAGGCGGAUCCAAAGGCAGUCGCUUACCUAGGAGCAUACUUCGGUGUAGCAUAUAUAGCGGCAUACCCCUUUGACCUAGGUGGAAAAGAGAUCUAUUGAAACCCACCAUAAGUAUCUGGGGAGACAGCUGCGGAUACAGAUUUACCAUAAGCAAAAGCGGCUACUGAGGCGAAGGCAAAUAAGGUUCCGUUCCGGAAAAAGAAAUGGAAAUUAAAAAAAAGGUCUGAUCAAAUAUUUUGCUUUCUUGUUGUCUUGAAUUGUUAUAGAACGGCUUUCUAUUUAUAUAAGGUAUAGUUGGUAGGAUGAAGUGGGAUGUGAAGCCUUAGUGGAUAUAGCAAGUGUGCCGGGGAUGCGGCUCGGGCGUAGUAGGUCUGGACGCCUAGCAUGAAACAGCCUUCUCUGGUAGCGGCACUAUACCUUAGUAUAGUAUCUCUCUAGCUUCCAGUCUAUAUUAAAAAACGUAGUUAGCAGAGGUCAGUCUGUCUGGCGUUCCCUCGCGUAAAGGGCGACUUUGGCAUCGGCUCUCUCUCGUUAGGUAAUUACCGAGGCGAAAGCGGCUCUCUCGGAAGUCAGUUUCCCCGCCAUCUUAGUGGGACUAGUCUAAUAAACUUUCACUUCAACUGCCUUACUCUAACAAGUAAGCAAGUCAACUACCAAGACUCGGAUUUUUUUGUUGUGGUAACGCCCUUCUAGAAUUACGUUUAACGUCCCUUCCUUUAUGAUUAUGACUUUCCCGAUCAGCGCCUCGGGUCGGUAGCCGGGCUCCGGGACAUUACUACCACGGCUACUAUCGACCCGAGCCCAAAGAAGGAAAAGAACGGACUAAAGCGAGGAGUUCAUUGGCCAUACAUAGUGAAGGGGGAUGGGGGGUCAACCUCUUUCAUGACCCAUGGCCCCAGUGUGUUACUUGGUUAGCAUUUCUAGAACAAAUUAAGUAGGGUUGGUUUUUCGAUAGGGAAACAGGGGAGUUAGUUGGCUGUAGUUGAGACACGUUUUUCGGAUAUGGAUUUUUUCGAGAUGGUUAACCACUUUUUUAACCGUGAGAGGGAGGUCAUUCAGAACCCGCUGGCUCCAGUCCAGAACCGGUGGAAGUUCCCCACGCCGAUCCCCCAACGUGAGGCACUUCGAAGUGCCAUUCAUUCUUGAGCAAGUUCGGUAAUAUUGUGAGAAGGGGAAAGGGCGGCUUUCCGUUCACUUUCCGGAAAUUGAAGAAAUCUAUUCCAGUGUCGCAGAGAACAUUAUGUCUCGCGAUCUGGAAAUAUCUGCGGAGAUUUCUAUUGAAACCCUCCGCGGAUGGGUGGAGGAGAUAAAGGAGAACCCUAAUCCCCUAAAAUCCCUCAUUAGGGAACACCUGUAAGAUGAGUCUGCCGCUUUAUUUCAUAACAGAGCCGGGAAUAACGGCUGGCAUAGAAGUCUCUCGCACGCAAGGAGAUGCAUUUCUGGUACUGGACAAGCUCUUAGGGAAUAAUCUCUUUCUUAUUUCUUCCUUUUUUCCCAUGACGACUAGGAACGGGCAAAUCAAAAAUUUCACUUCGAAUUUCGGACCUCAACAUCCUGCUGCUCAUGGUGUUUCACGAUCAGUAUUGGAAAUGAACGGAGAAGUGGUGGAACGUGCGGAACCACAUAUUGGAUCACUCCAGUGCGGCACGAAGCCGCUGACGCCGAGUCGGCUCCUAUGCCGCUAGCUAUGCCCUGCUUGGUCCCCCGGCACGGUGGAGGUCCCGUAGCGCGUCAUGAGCACCGGGCUAAGAGGCGGUUGAGCAACUCAAGCGAACCGCCCUACCUUACUACAACAUAAGGACAGAAGGGAGAAGGUUGUGAAGGUGGCCUCGUUAUCCACACCUCCGGUCAGAUGAAUGGAGGACCGACCGACCCGGGUUUUCAUGAGCGUUGGCGGGUCCUGGAGUGCCUGUCAAGGGCGCUAGCGCAUACCCCGGGGUGAUCAUCACCACCUGCACCUCACAUCUCGGCACAGCGGAACGUGUAACCCGCCUGCUGUCUCAUUCAACUACAUUUGUUCCUGUAAUCCAUAGCCUAACAGAACGCAGCAGCGAGGGACAACCCGCCCAUACACAGCCAGCGGGGAGGAUGGCACUACUGGCAAAGACCGUCCGGCGAAAACGCCGCAGGCGCGAAGCGUGGUAGGCCGGUGCCGGGGGAGCAUAGCAUAGGUAGGAAAGGGAGCCAGGACGGUGGAAGAGCCAGGGGGGGCCGGGUCAUUUGACGGAAAUGGAAGGCUUUUCCCCUAUUAGAGAAGGCCCUCUGAAGUCAAGGGGAAGUGCAUUAAUUCUUGGAAAAAGAGGGAGCUAUAAAAAUGAAUGAAAGUGAAUUCAAUGAAUAGAUAGAGUCAACGGUACGACAGACAGCGCUGCCUACACGCGAAUUAGCUUCCGAGGUCGAGCAGUCUCAAUUUCACUACAGGAUUUGCGAAUGAAUGCUGGGCUGGGCCACCUCGAAUGGCGUGAGCCGCAUGCGGGGAGACCCGCACGUACGGUUUUUAGGGGGAUCUGGUCGAAAGACCGGCCGGCGCCCACCCGACUAGAGGGACUGAGAAAUUAAUAGAGUACAAAACUUAUCUUCAAGCUUUACCUUAUUCUGAUCGUUUAGAGGGCGAUCGCGGAGUCACUGAAUGAAGUCCUCCGUUUCUUUCGGAGGUGCUGACCCGCAGCGAGGCAGAGAUGACUAAGUUACAUAUGGAAUAUGGCGACGACAACAGCAUGUCGUAGAAGGAGAUAACAGGUGGAGCCAACGAUCCGCUAAGACUAACGUAUCUACAACUCCAUCCCCGAGCGGCAGUCAAACGGAGGCGUGAAUGCAAGAUGCCAGCGGAAUGAUCGGCCGGACAGAGGCUAGGGCUGCUUCCUUCCCACCGCGUCCUUCCUUGUGUGUCGGAGAUAUAAAGCGAGUGCACCGGAAAAGAACGGGAACUGGGUCGAUCUAUUCUAUGGCGAAGCAUCCGAAGCAUAACUGCACACUCACACGAUCUUUGCCGAGAGAUAGGAGCAUUCGGUGGAACCGGUGAACUACACUUGCUUCUGGAUAGAUGUGUGGGACAGAGGGCUCGUGGUACCUGCUGCCCACCCUUCCUCCUCUGCUUUGAGAACCGUGUGAACGGAGAGUGGGCAGAAGGGAAGGAGGUCCUCAUACGGAGUCGCACACUUACUUGAGCAGUGCGGAAGACUGGGGAAUGGGUUGAGUAAACUCCCCUGGGGCCGGAAAAAUAACAGACGAAGCUUUACUUAGAUAGGGCUUUGAUUGGUUAUUUUUUUUUCUUAGUGAUUGGAAAGGAGGGCGCCUGGGUAUGUUACAAAAGGGGAAGGCAGAGGUAGUACUUCGAAUGGCGAAACGAAGGGCUAAAUAGCGCCAGUGAUUCUCUGAGCCGGUCUGGAUUUUCAACGCCUCGGGAAACUGGUCGAGAUAGAUUAGAUGACAGCACCCUUUUCCUCUCUUCCUUACCGGGAGGGCAAUCUUAUCUUAUGGCCUUCACCUCCCGCCCGGCCCGGAAAUAGAACCCAGCCCCCCCUUCUGAUCCAUUCAUUUCUGCAAGCAGGGGGGAUCCAGAGCUAAUCCUCCCGUCUAUUGCAUAACCUAAAAAAGCUAUAAGCAAAGUACCAAAGGUGCGCUCCGCCCGGUGACUAAGAAAUUGGUUUGCGCUUUGAAGUGAUGAGGUCGCAAAGAGGGAAGUAGGGCUCCUAUUGAAAGGCUUUCCCUCCCUCAAAAGGCGACCAGCUUUCAAUACUAGUUGUUACGUUACGCUGCCAUUUUUCCAAUAUCAUUGAAUAGCAUGGCCUGCCUGGGGCUAAGGUAACUCAAGUGGGAGAGCCGUGUUAUGGGUGACCUUAUUGCACGGUUCAGAGAGCACUUGUGUAUGUGAUGCAAGUGAACGUGUACGAAAAAGCUGUAUCUAGGGUGAGUUCUUCGUUCCGUCGUCGACCCUAUCUAUGUUUCUACGAUGGCCCAAGAACACGCUCAUUCUUCAGCCGUAGAGAGACUUUUGAAUUGCGAGGUACCAUUACGAGCUCAAUAUAUACGAGUGUUAUUCCGUGAAAUAACUCGAAUUUCAAAUCAUUUACUUGCUUUAACUACUCAUGCUAUGGAUGUGGGAGCAUCAACUCCGUCCCUGUGGGCUUUUGA
rnacentral:lncRNA from 1 species